AAAUUUUGAAAAAUCUUACUAUUUCUCCUUGCUUUAAAUCUAAAACAUUGAGAGCAAAAAUUAGAAAUUAGCUUGCUUGCGCUACCACUCUAAUCUAACCCCUUACCACCCCCCACCACACACCUUCCCCAACCUCCCCUAAUUUGUUGUAAAUGAUUUAAACUAACAUCCAAACAAUCCACUUACCUCUCUUCACUAAACUCUCUCUUUCUCUCUCUAAAACCCUUUCUCUCUCUUCUCUUAUCAUAUCAAAUUACUGUUUGAUGUAUCCUUCUGAAACUCAAUUAAAGAUCAUAUCUUUAGUUUGCAUGUGUGUUUAUAGUGUUAGAUUUUAAUGGUUUUUUUUUUUUGAACUUUUUGAUUUGAUUCUUAAAAACCCAAAAAAAAAUAGUACCAUAUGAAAAAACCCUAAUCACAAAACUGGAAAUUAGUACACUUGCAGAUCUGAAACUUUCUUUUGCAUCUGUAAGGUUUAAAAUUUCUGGUUUCUGAUCUUUUUUCUGUUUUCUUUCCCAAUUUGGUAAGUUGAAAUUAUAUUUUGGGUGAGAUUUCUGUUUUAGGUGGGAGGAGUGAGAAUUUGACAGAAGAGAGUGAGCACAGAAAGGCAGAAAUGGUAUAGAAUACAAACUAUGAAAAUAAAAUUAAAAAAAAAAUAAAAGAAAAAAAAUGAGAUGUGUAGAAAUAUCAUCUAUACUAUUCCUUUUUUGUGCUCACUGCUCUCUCUGUCAGCUUCCCUUCCAACUCCAACCCCACCUCUUAAUUAUUUCUCCAACCCCUUUGAUUCUCUUCAACUUCUAAUGAUAAGGAUGAUAUUUUGUUGAUUUUUCUGAUGCUAAAAUAUCUGGAGUUGGGAUAGUUGACACUGGAAGAUUACUUCAAGUAUGUGGCCCUUAUUAGUGGCUUUAAGAGCUUUUUGCAAGAAAAGCAUAUCUGGAAGCCUUGUUUGAACAGAAUAUGUUCAUUAGUAGCUCCACUGAUCUCGUCAACUCGUUAAAAAGUAGCGUUAUUGCGAUCUCGGUGAGCCGUGAAAGCAUCCUUCGGCAAGGUUGCUUGCUAUUGCUUUUAAGAUUGGACGAGGGGCAUUUUCAAUUAAAAAAAUAAAGGAAAAUUUUACGUGGUAGCUCUGAGGUUUUGGGUUUUUUUACGUGGUAACCAAAACUUUUAAAAAAGCGACUUAGUAACCUUGAGGUUUACCAAAUUGUUCUACCGUGACCUUUUUGCACAUAAAACGUUAACAAACGUUAAUUUUGAAGCUUUAACGUUGUUGUAUGCCUAUUUAUGCGACUCACCAUUUUAAAUGUCAUCAGUUUCAACUUUUUUUCUCAAAAUAUAACCCCUAACCCUACUAUCUUUCAUCCAAAUUAUAUUUUUUUCUACGAAAUCCAAAAAUGAUAAAGUUAGGGUUUAUGUUUAGGGAAAAAGGUUGAGACUGAUAGCAUUGAAAAGAUGAGUCGCACAAAUAGGUGUACAACAACCAUAAAGCUUUAAAAUUAAUGUUUGCUAACGUUUAAUGUGCAAAAAGGUCAUUGUGGAACAAUUUUGUAAACCUUAGGGUUACCACGUAAAUUUUUUAAAAGUUUUGGUUACCACGUGAAAAUUUUCAAAAAUAAAUGAAUAAUAAACUAUAAUAAAGGUUUGCACUCUUCCAAAGUUUUUGAUAGUAUAUGUUUUUUUAUUUUUGACGUACAAUAAUAAAAAUAAUUGCAAAAGAGUCCGUCCUAAAUAUUGUGAUUGGAUAAACAUUAUGAUAAGGUUUAUUUUAAUCAUAUUUGAUUAAUCAAAAUUAGGAAACCACAUUUAUAUAUUUUAUUAAGCAAAUAUUAUUCUUAGAACUACGAACCCCAUUAGCAUUGAUAAGGUACCCAUAUAAAAAGGCACAAGUCUAGUUGAAUACUUCCAUUGAUAUUCUAAUUAUGCAUGAAAUAUAACUAGUUAUGUUUAUUAAAGAGAAAAACAUAAUUAGGUUAAAGGUUGAAGUUGGUUUUCAAGUGAUUUCUAUGUCUAUGUAGUGUAUAUGUACAUGUGGAGUAUGACAAUAAUACUCUCUUUUCUAGUAUAUGUGUUCUAUUUAGUUUUGAACUAAUUUUACUAAUUUAUUAAAUUAAAAAAUAUAAAAGUUGAUAGUAAUAAAAUUUAGAUUGAAACGAAAUAAAUCAAUAUUAUUUGAUUAUGUUUAAAUUUAUAAAUAAAUUUAAUUUGUUCUGAUAAAAAAGUAAUGAUGCUCAUGUGAUGAAGAGGAGGAGGUGACAAUUUGUGGCAACAAAUCAAACUAACUAAUCUCGUAUGGACUUAAAACGUGUUAAAAUAGUGUGCUCUAAUCUUAAAUUCAAGGAGUAUAAGUUGGAGAGUAUAAUUAAAUAAAGUAGAGAGUGAAAAGUCUGGACAUGUGAAUGAAAUAUUAAGGAUGCACAAUAAAAAUAGCGUAGACUAUGUCUGUUUUAGAGUAGGCCAUUGGACUAUAAACAUCUCAUAAGAAGAAAAAAUUGCAGGGUUUACUAUAUUUUUUUUGAUUUUUUAGUAUUUAGUUUGGUUUUGAAUAGUGUAGUUAAGUUUGUAAGGCAUAUACUACUUAGUCCAAUUAUAGUGAGCAACUAUUGCUCCAAAUCCAAUGCGUGAUAUAAAACAAUAAUCAACUUGAUUCACCUUUAUGUGAAUGAUACAUGAAUUCAAUGGAUAAGUGUAUGAUAGUGAAAUUGAAUAGUUGGCAUCAUCUAUAUUACUUGGACAUAGAUACUGAUGUGGAUAUGGUAUGUGUCCAAGUAUCGAUUACGCUUAUUUUUAAUUUUACAUUUAAAAUGAAGUGUCUAAGUGCCAAAGCAAUGUUCGAGUAUCAAGGAUCGGAUACGAGUACGUGAAGCAAAAUGAAAAGUCCAAGUAAUAGAGGUUGACAUAAACACAGUUACACCAUAAAACUAGCUCAAUCUUAGCUCUUGGAUAGCAUCUAUGUCUAUAGUUAUGUCACUUAUGCCUUCUAUACUGUGGCCUUUAGAUUGCUUUAUACAUUUUUGGCUGUGUUAUGAGCAAUAUAUUUUUGUUGCAUUACCUUGUCACUUAUGUCUUAUUUGGUUUUGCUUUUCUUUCUUGAGUUAAGGGAUAGUUUGGUUGCAUCUUUCUUUGUCGAUAUGAUUUGUUAUCUUCAGGGGGAGUACAUUGAGUGUGGUGAAAAUGACAUAUACACACUACACAAUCUUUAGGGUUGUAUACAAGGAGCUAGAUAUAUUUGGCAAUGAUUUAGCCGAAGUUGUUGGUUGAAACAUUUUUAUUGAUUUGACUAGCUGAAAGUAUUGGUUGAUAAGCCAUGUGUUUCAGCUAGUUAUUUAAACGAGCUGCUAUAAUUAGCUUUUGGUUUUGAUUUGAAAGUCAGCAUUUCGAUUAGUUUAAAACUCAUUUUUCAAACUCUUGAUUUUGGUAGGUUGAUUUGAUAAACCAAAAAAGCAAAAAUUCAAAAAAACAAAAGAAACAUUUUGCUAAACACACUCAUGAGAUAUUUGGUUAUAAAUAGAUGGUAUAAAUUACAGAUAUACAAUUGUUAUAUUUUCAAAAUUAAAUUUAAUGUUUAUUUAAAACUAUAUUUUUAUGUAUCAUAUUUUCUGUCAAUAUAAUUGUGAAAUUGCUUGGAUAUUAUUUUAAUUUUAAAAAAGGUUCCAAAAAAUUCAAAGAAAAUAAAACAAGUUUAUUUAAAUGGAGGGCAAACUUACCUAGAAUAAUCUAAUCUUUUUAUCAUUUUUUUAUAAUAAUUUCACUUAUUGAUUAACUAUGAGUAAUUUCAACUUUAGGGUGUAUUUGUUUAGAGUAAACUUAGGUAAUGUAAUGACCUGCUAUAGUAGGUAAUUCAAAAAAAAUUAAAUUGAAAAUUAAUGUAAAAUUAAAAAAAUUAUUUUUUCGACAUUGUAUUUUAAUUUAUCUUUUAUUUAAAUAAAAUAAAAACUUGCUAUAGCAAAUCAUCUGGUUACCGGGUUUACUUUAGAAAAACACUCGGUAAAGGUUGGAUUAUUCAUGGUUAAUCAAUAGGUGGGAUUAUCGUAGGAAAAUAAUAAAAAAAUCGGAUUAUUUUAGGUAAUUUUUAAUAAGAAUUUAAUUCAUUUUUUUUUUUCUAAAAUAAGAGGUAAUAAGUCCGGAAUAUCCUAACGCCUAAUUAUUUGUAGGUAGUUCUUUAAUAAUGGUUUGUCUCUUGUUCUAAAGGGUUAAAUUCAGUAGAUCUGGAUGGAGGAGUAAAUUAUUUAGUUGCGUAUUAAUUAUAUCAAUUAUUCUAAAUUUAAAUUAUUAUAGAGAAAUUAUAUCACCAAAUUAAUGUUGGAGUCUAGUUGAUAUUUGAGCAAUUAUAUUUUUUAGUAUCUAUAUAUAUAUAUAUAUAUAUAUAUAUAUAUAUAUAUAUAUAUAUAUAAAUAAAAAUGAAUAGUGGCAUAUGCCAAAACUAUUUGGGGACAAAGAGGAAUAGUAAAGGGCUUUGGGAGGGAUAAUAAUAAAGAAAAUCAUUAUUAAUAUUUGUUCGUUUAAUAUUAAUCCGUAGAUUUAACUUAUAUUUUUAUCUUAUUUAUUUAUAUAUAUAUUUAUCCUUCUUUUCUAUAAAAUACUAUUUUAUCUAUUUUUUUAAUCCACUUCUUUUAAUUUUCUCUUAAAUUUAUGGCCAAUUGUUGAUGGGGCAAUUUUCAUUAAACUUGUGGUAAUAAUAUUUUAUAAAAUAAUCAACCUUUUUUUUAUAUCAAAAACAAUAUUUUCUAUCCUGAAAAUACUUGUUCUAGCUUGCCACUAAAUACACUCUUUUUUCUGAGUUAUCAGCUAUCUCCCUUGAAUUUCUUAAAUUCCUUUUUGCUUUUUUUGGGACAAUUAAUUUUUACUCUAUCAGUGAGGUAAAAUUUAGGCCUGAGUUGGCCUAUAUGCUAUUUAAUUAAAAACCCUACUAAAGUGAGAUGAUAUUAGAUCCGUCACUGUUAAAAGAUGGUUUCUUACAAGAGUAUGUUUUUGGCAAAGAAACCUUGGCUAAAUGCCUUAAUCUGGAAACAUACCUGUGGGUUGUGAGACUGGACAACCAGCUAUAAAUUUAAGAACUUCAUAAGAAUUAGGGCAUCAAAUGAG